rnacentral:lncRNA from 1 species
CUUCAAAUGCGACAGUGACUGUUGCAGUAUUACUCAGUCUACUAGCAGUCUUUGUAUUUAUUGCUGUUGUUGCGUGUCUUUACAUGAAAUACAAAAGGAAAAACUUGACGAACCUGUUCAGUAAGCUGUAUUUCAGAUCUGACCAAGAUGAUCUUUUGGUGAACAUGGAAGAUGUGAA